rnacentral:rRNA from 1 species
GAGUUUGAUCUUGGCUCAGAACGAACGCUGGCGGCAUGCCUAACACAUGCAAGUCGAACGAGACCUUCGGGUCUAGUGGCGCACGGGUGCGUAACGCGUGGGAAUCUGCCCUUGGGUUCGGAAUAACGUUUGGAAACGAACGCUAAUACCGGAUGAUGUCUUCGGACCAAAGAUUUAUCGCCCAGGGAUGAGCCCGCGUAGGAUUAGCUUGUUGGUGAGGUAAAGGCUCACCAAGGCGACGAUCCUUAGCUGGUCUGAGAGGAUGAUCAGCCACACUGGGACUGAGACACGGCCCAGACUCCUACGGGAGGCAGCAGUGGGGAAUCUUGCGCAAUGGGCGAAAGCCUGACGCAGCCAUGCCGCGUGGAUGAUGAAGGUCUUAGGAUUGUAAAAUCCUUUCAGCGGGGACGAUAAUGACGGUACCCGCAGAAGAAGCCCCGGCUAACUUCGUGCCAGCAGCCGCAGU